CAGCAGUAAGGAAUAUUGGUCAAUGGGGGCAACCCUGAACCAGCCAUGCCGCGUGCAGGAAGACGGCCCUCUGGGUUGUAAACUGCUUUUAUCCGGGAAUAAACCCCCUUACGUGUAAGGGGCUGAAUGUACCGGAAGAAUAAGGAUCGGCUAACUCCGUGCCAGCAGCCGCGGUAAUACGGAGGAUCCAAGCGUUAUCCGGAUUUAUUGGGUUUAAAGGGUGCGUAGGCGGCCUGUUAAGUCAGGGGUGAAAGACGGUGGCUCAACCAUCGCAGUGCCUUUGAUACUGACGGGCUUGAAUACACUUGAAGUAGGCGGAAUGUGACAAGUAGCGGUGAAAUGCAUAGAUAUGUCACAGAACACCGAUUGCGAAGGCAGCUUACUAAGGUGCAAUUGACGCUGAGGCACGAAAGCGUGGGGAUCAAACAGGAUUAGAUACCCUGGUAGUCCACGCCCUAAACGAUGAAUACUCGAUGUUAGCGAUAUACAGUUAGCGUCUAAGCGAAAGCGUUAAGUAUUCCACCUGGGGAGUACGCCCGCAAGGGUGAAACUCAAAGGAAUUGACGGGGGCCCGCACAAGCGGAGGAGCAUGUGGUUUAAUUCGAUGAUACGCGAGGAACCUUACCCGGGCUUGAAAGUUACUGAAGUAUCCAGAGAUGGAUGCGUCCGCAAGG
rnacentral:rRNA from 1 species